ACUACUACAGGGUAACAACACUACUACUACAGGGUAAUAACACUACUACAGGGUAAUAACACUACUACAGGGUAGUAGCACUACUACAGGUUAGUAACACUACUACAGGUUAGUAACACUACUACAGGUUAGUAACACUACUACAGGGUAGUAACACUACUACAGGUUAGUAACACUACUAGUUACUACAGGUUAGUAACACUACUACAGGGUAAUAGCACUACUACAGGGUAAUAACACUACUAGCUACUACAGGGUAAUAACACUACUAGCUACUACAGGUUAGUAACACUACUACAGGGUAAUAACACUACUAGCUACUACAGGGUAAUAACACUACUAGCUACUACAGGGUAAUAACACUACUAACUACUACAGGGUAGUAACACUACUACAGGGUAAUAACACUACUA
ensembl:lncRNA